CUUAGUACGAGAGGACCGGGACGGACUAACCUCUGGUGUGCCAGUUGUUUACCAAAAACACGGCUGGUUGGCUACGUUGGGAAGUGAUAACCGCUGAAAGCAUCUAAGUGGGAAGCACGCUUCAAGAUGAGGGUUCCCUCACCGUUAAGGUGGUAAGGUCCCCGGUAGACCACCGGGUUGAUAGGUCGGACGUGGAAGUGCAGUAAUGCAUGGAGCUGACCGAUACUAAUAGACCGAGGGCUUGUUUCU
rnacentral:rRNA from 1 species